rnacentral:tRNA from 1 species
GGCGCCGUGGCUUAGUUGGUCAAAGCGCCUGUCUAGUAAACAGGACGGGUUCGAAUCCCAGCGGUGCCU